UCUACGGGAGGCAGCAGUGAGGAAUAUUGGUCAAUGGGCGGGAGCCUGAACCAGCCAAGUCGCGCGAGGGAAGACGGUCCUAUGGAUUGUAAACCUCUUUAGGCGGGGAGCAAUGCCGGGCACGCGUGUACGGAGGGAGAGUACCCGCAGAAUAAGCAUCGGCUAACUCCGUGCCAGCAGCCGCGGUAAUACGGAGGAUGCGAGCGUUAUCCGGAUUUAUUGGGCGUAAAACGAGCGCAGGCGGGUUAACAAGUUUGGUAUGAAAGGCUUUUGCUUAACGAAAGUUUGUAUCAAAAACUGGUAAUCUAGAGUGUAGUAGAGAGUUCUGGAAUUCCAGGUGGAGCGGUGGAAUGCGUAGAUAUAUGGAAGAACACCAGUGGCGAAGGCGAGAACUUAGGCUAUCACUGACGCUUAGGCUCGAAAGUGUGGGGAGCAAAUAGGAUUAGAUACCCUUGUAGUC
rnacentral:rRNA from 1 species